UGGGGAAUAUUGCACAAUGGGCGCAAGCCUGAUGCAGCCAUGCCGCGUGUGUGAAGAAGGCCUUCGGGUUGUAAAGCACUUUCAGUCGUGAGGAAGGUAGUGUAGUUAAUAGCUGCAUUAUUUGACGUUAGCGACAGAAGAAGCACCGGCUAACUCCGUGCCAGCAGCCGCGGUAAUACGGAGGGUGCGAGCGUUAAUCGGAAUUACUGGGCGUAAAGCGCAUGCAGGUGGUUUGUUAAGUCAGAUGUGAAAGCCCGGGGCUCAACCUCGAAUAGCAUUUGAAACUGGCAGACUAGAGUACUGUAGAGGGGGGUAGAAGUUUCAGGUGUAGCGGUGAAAUGCGUAGAGAUCUGAAGGAAUACCGGUGGCGAAGGCGGCCCCCUGGACAGAUACUGACACUCAGAUGCGAAAAGCGUGGGGAGCAAAACAGGAUUAGAUACCCUGGUAGUCCACGCCGUAAACGAUGUCUACUUGGAGGUUGUGGCCUUGAGCCGUGGCUUUCGGAGCUAACGCGUUAAGUAGACCGCCUGGGAGUACGGUCGC
rnacentral:rRNA from 1 species